CUCACUCUCCUCGCUUGAGAAUCAUGGCUAGAUCUAACAUCACUCGAAUAGCCUCAAAUCUAAGCUCCGGCUUCAUCUAUCCUCUCUCUCGACUUCAUUUGUAGCGCUCGUGAUUUUUUUGAGUUUCGUUUGGGUCUUCGCAAGUUAUUGGGGUGGUUGUUGAUGGCUUUACUUUUGUUUGGCAAUUAAGGUGGUGGUGGUUCGUGCUGAUGAUUAUGUUGAUUCAUGGGUGGUGAAGCAUCGGAUGUUAGUGCAAAAGAUUAUAAUAAAGCUGCGACCAGCAUGCCGAGCUUCGUUCCUCCAGUGAUUCCCUCUUAAAAUCCCAUAUGGGGUCUUAUUGCACUUGAAGCUCUUGAUCCUAACUGUGGAACCACAACAAUCCUAAAGUGAAAUUCUACUUUCUUUGGUAUGCUUCCUGCUGAUCAUAACUUGCCCUCCCAUUUUU